AUUGAACGCUGGCGGCAUGCCUUACACAUGCAAGUCGAACGGUAACAGGUCUUCGGAUGCUGACGAGUGGCGAACGGGUGAGUAAUACAUCGGAACGUGCCCGAUCGUGGGGGAUAACGAAGCGAAAGCUUUGCUAAUACCGCAUACGAUCUACGGAUGAAAGCAGGGGACCGCAAGGCCUUGCGCGAACGGAGCGGCCGAUGGCAGAUUAGGUAGUUGGUGGGAUAAAAGCUUACCAAGCCGACGAUCUGUAGCUGGUCUGAGAGGACGACCAGCCACACUGGGACUGAGACACGGCCCAGACUCCUACGGGAGGCAGCAGUGGGGAAUUUUGGACAAUGGGCGAAAGCCUGAUCCAGCCAUGCCGCGUGCAGGAUGAAGGCCUUCGGGUUGUAAACUGCUUUUGUACGGAACGAAAAGACUCUGGUUAAUACCUGGGGUCCAUGACGGUACCGUAAGAAUAAGCACCGGCUAACUACGUGCCAGCAGCCGCCGUAACAC
rnacentral:rRNA from 1 species